CGUGCGGCAACCCGGCGAGGAUGGAGGCAGUAGGGGGAACAGAAGCCGCGCUCCGGGGCAGCGCCUGGCACUAGGGAGAGCGAGGCAGACCGUGCCCGUGCCAGGGGUGUGCGCUGUCGGGGCACACCAGGGCUGCAUCGUCCCAUGCACUGGCACGGGGCGGGAGCAGCAUGGAGCCAGUCUGAGCUGGGGGCCGUUUCGCACCCACGUCGCGCAGAUGUCGAUGACGGUGGGAAAGCCCGGCCAAGAACCCAGGAGUCCUGGCUCCCACACACUAGAGAUAAUCUGCACGAAGGCAGAGCUUUACCUCACAGCAGGGGUAGUUAAUAGGCAGACCGGAUGUCAAAUCCCGACCGCCAGAUCCUUUUGAACGGACCCUGAAAUCUUUUAAUUUGCUGCUUCUUAUCAUUAUUGUUGGGGGUGUUUUUAAAAUGAUUUUCUCUGGAGUCUGGACCUUGACCAAGAAAUUUGGACCUUGACAAAAAAGAAUUGACUAUCCCUGCCUUACAGGGUGAGCAGCACUCAUUUCCCUCGAGUUAUUUGAGGGGGGCAACAGCACCCCCAUUCUGAUAAAUCUGGGUAGCAUUGCUGUAGAUUGAGGGUGAGAUGAGCUUAGAACCUCAGCCCCUAGUAACAGGAAAACGACAGGCGGAGGGACAUGCUCUGUUGUGUGCCGGGGUGAAACUGAGCAACCCUGAGAGCCAGGAGCUCCUGUGUCCUGAGCCUGGCUCUGCCACCGGAACCUGGCAUGGCCUUAGUUAAAUCACUUAGCGCUCUGUGCCUUAGUUUCCCUGGGAACAGUUCUUCACAGGAGCGUAGUGAGCAGCAGUCAAAGCGCGUAAAGCACUUUGCCGGUGAAGAGCUCCGUAAAAACAAGCCAGUCCUCUUAACCUCCAUUUCAGGGAUGGGGAAACUUAGGCACGGAACGGGGACAGCGACGUGCCCAAGGUCGUGCAGGGAGUCAGCGAUGGAGCCAGCAAUAGAACCCAGGAGUCCUGACCCCUCGUUCCCCAGCCCUCGCCACUAGGCAGCUCUCCCCGCCUGAAAGAAUCGUCAUCCUAAAUAGCGCUAGAUAAAUGCUAAGCCGUGGUUAUUGUGGGGGUAAUGGGAGAGAGUUGCUGUAGCAUGGCCCCCCAAGGCUCAUGGCCCCCCAAGGCUCUGCAGGUGUCGCCAGGGCUUUGCAUGCCCUGCCUGCGGGGGGAGCUCCUAGGAGAUUCUCUUUGCAGCUUACGCUAGUGUCGCCAGGGGCCCCCCUCUGAUCUGCCACCCUCCCCUCUGCCGGCCCAUGCGCUCAGACCCCCAUGCACGGCCAGGUCCCAGAGCAGAGCUGCAAACCCUGGGGUCUCAGUGCAGCCUGGAACUGGGACCGUAGUUUGGGGGCGUGUGGGGCCAGCGUGCAUUGGGGGCCCUGUGCGGCUGUGGCCGAGGUGUGGGGACUUCCAGCCCGGUCAGGGUGGGGAGUUUUCUGAUCACCCACAAAUGGGUCUGGAUCUGUGAACCUGCUAGGGGUGACUCGGCCCCUUGCAGCCAGAGGGGGGUGUGGGGCUGUUCGCCUGGCCUGGGGAUGUGCCCUCAGGGUGAGCUGGGCUCCAGACAGAGAAGCCCUUGCAACUGGCCGCGUCUGGCCGCUCUGCAAAGCCCAGCGUCUCGCUGGGACCCCACUGUCCCACCGGCGGGUCAGGCUGCUUCCACACCCCAGGGAGGGAGGCACUUUAUCCAGACAGGCCAAGCUGCUUUGGGGACCCGGUUCUGACCCGGCUGAUUCUGCGCAAGCCCUGGGCUGAGGGGCCGACUUCAGUUCUGUGGUGCUGGUGCCGGCCGGAGCCUGCUCCGUCCCCCUUGGCCUGGUCCCCCUGGCUCCCCUCUCUGGGGCGCUCAGCGGGUCGGACCCUGCUCCUGUCAAAUGUGGCUGGGCCGGGGAGGCUGAGUACUCACCCCGCCACACACACGUCCAUCAGACACACACACACACACACACACACACACACAGGUCCAUCGGCCACCCCUCCACCCCCCCACAGGUCCAUCACACACCCACACGUCCAUCACACACACACACAGGUCCAUCUCUCUUUCUCUCUAUCAUACACCCACACCCACACGUCCAUCACACACACACACAGGUCCAUCUCUCUUUCUCUGUAUCAUACACCCACAGGUCCAUCACACGCCCACGCCCACACCCACACACAUCCAUCACGCACAUACACAGGUCCAUCUCUCUUUCUCUCUAUCUCUUUCUCACACAAACACAGGUCCAUCCCAUACCCACAGGUCCAUCACAUACC